AUAACAACAACAAUAACUGCAAAUAAUAAUAUUAGCAAUGGUAAUGUUAAUAGAAUGAAUUCAAUUAAAAUUAAAGAAACUGGUUGGUUGGUU
rnacentral:sRNA from 15 species